GACGAACGCUGGCGGCGUGCUUAACACAUGCAAGUCGAACGGAAAGGCCCUGCUUUUGUGGGGUGCUCGAGUGGCGAACGGGUGAGUAACACGUGAGUAACCUGCCCUUGACUUUGGGAUAACUUCAGGAAACUGGGGCUAAUACCGGAUAGGAGCUCCUGCUGCAUGGUGGGGGUUGGAAAGUUUCGGCGGUUGGGGAUGGACUCGCGGCUUAUCAGCUUGUUGGUGGGGUAGUGGCUUACCAAGGCUUUGACGGGUAGCCGGCCUGAGCGGGUUACCGGCCACAUUGGGACUGAGAUACGGACCAGACUCCUACGGGAGGCAGCAGUGGAGAAUAUUGCACAAUGGGCGGAAGCCUGAUGCAGCAACGCCGCGUGCGGGAUGACGGCCUUCGGGUUGUAAACCGCUUUCGCCUGUGACGAAGCGUGAGUGACGGUAAUGGGUAAAGAAGCACCGGCUAACUACGUG
rnacentral:rRNA from 1 species